AUGGCCAAGGCAUAUGAUAGGGUGGAAUGGUCUUAUCUACGUGCGAUGAUGAACAAGUUGGGGUUUGCAGAAGCAUGGAUCGAUAGAGUUAUGGUAUGUGUGCAGUCAGUAUCUUUUUCUGUGCACGUGAAUGGCCAAUUUUCUUCCACUUUCAGACCCACUCGAGGAUUUAGGCAGGGCGAUCCAAUAUCUCCCUACUUAUUUCUUAUUUGUGCGGAAGGAUUGAGUUGUUUGCUGAAAUUUAAAGGUCCGGUACAUCUUUCUCGAGGUGUAAGAGUUGGCGUUCAUGCUCCAUGGGUCUCACACCUACUAUUCGCCGAUGAUUGCUUGGUCUUUACACAGGCUACGGCUGAGGCUGCCACUAGGCUGCAUAACAUUUUGGAUAUCUAUAAAACAGCUUCUGGUCAGAUGGUCAACCGUAGUAAAUCAGCCAUUUUCUUUAGCGCAAACUGUACUGAUGAGACAAAGGCAAUGGUCCAUGUGAAUAUGGAGAUUGAGACGGAAGCAUUAGUUGAGAAGUACCUUGGACUACCAACCGCCAUUGGUAAAUCUUCUGAUGUACAGUUUGAGCACAUAGCAACAAAUAUUCGAAAAUUGGUGAAUGGCUAUGUUCCUAAACUCUUAAGCAGUGCGGCAAGGGAAGUUUUGAUUAAAGCGGUAUGCCAAGCUAUCCCAACUUAUUCUAUGAGCUGCUUUAGACUUUCCAAGAAAUUGUGCAAGAAAUUAACCAAUAUUGUGGCCCGCUUCUUUUGGGGGGAGAUGAUAAUAAGAGGAAAUUGCAUUGGAAGAAGUGGAAGGAUAUUGCAAUACCUAAAGGAGAAGGAGGGAUGGGUUUUAGGGAUUUCGAAUUAUUCAACCAGGCUAUGCUGGCGAAACAAGGCUGGAGGUUGCUUACAUCACCAGAUUCUCUAUGCGCUAGAGUCUUAA
rnacentral:rRNA from 1 species